AGUCGAGCGGGACAUUGUGGGUAGCAAUAUUCGCAAUGUCUAGCGGCGAAAGGCUGCGUAACACGUGGGCAAUCUGCCAUGAAGACCGGGACAACCUGCUGAAAGGCGAGCUAAUACCGGAUGUGAUAAUCCAUUGGCAUCUUUGGAUUCUCGAAGUUGGGUUCCGCAAGGUCCAACACUUCAUGAUGAGCCCGCGGCCUAUCAGCUAGUUGGUGAGGUAACGGCUCACCAAGGCAAAGACGGGUAGCUGGUCUGAGAGGACGAUCAGCCACACUGGAACUGAGACACGGUCCAGACACCUACGGGUGGCAGCAGUCGAGAAUUUUUCACAAUGGGCGAAAGCCUGAUGGAGCGACGCCGCGUGGGGGAUGAAGGGCUUCGGCCUGUAAACCCCUGUCAUUCGUGAACAACAUUCAUUGCUGAAACGGCAACGAAUUUGAUAGUAGCGAAAGAGGAAGGGACGGCUAACUCUGUGCCAGCAGCCGCGGUAAUACAGAGGUCCCAAGCGUUGUUCGGAUUCACUGGGCGUAAAGGGUGCGUAGGUGGCGGGGUAAGUUCGGUGUGAAAUCUUCGAGCUCAACUCGGAAAAUGCACUGAAAACUACCUCGCUUGAGGGUCGGAGGGGAGACUGGAAUUCUCGGUGUAGCAGUGAAAUGCGUAGAUAUCGAGAGGAACACCAGUGGCGAAGGCGAGUCUCUGGACGACUCCUGACGCUGAGGCACGAAAGCUAGGGGAGCAAACAGGAUUAGAUACCCUGGUAGUCCUAGCCGUAAACGGUGCACGUUUGCUGUGAGAGGAAUCGACCCCUUUCGUGGCGAAGCUAACGCGUUUAAACGUGCCGCCCUGGGGGGAGUACGGUCGCAAGAUUAAAACUCAAAGAA
rnacentral:rRNA from 1 species